rnacentral:rRNA from 1 species
UGGAACCGCAGAGAUGUGGGCGUGCCCGAAAGGGAACCUAGACACAGGUGCUGCAUGGCUGUCGCCAGCUCGUGUCGUGAGAUGUUGGGUUAAGUCCCGCAACGAGCGCAACCCUUGCCAUUAGUUGCUACAUUCAGUUGGGCACUCUAAUGGGACCGCCGGUGACAAACCGGAGGAAGGUGGGGAUGACGUCAAGUCCUCAUGGCCCUUAUGGGUAGGGCUUCACACGUAAUACAAUGGUCGGUACAGAGGGCUGCCAACCCGCAAGGGGGAGCCAAUCCCAGAAAGCCGAUCGUAGUCCGGAUUGUAGUCUGCAACUCGACUGCAUGAAGCCGGAAUCGCUAGUAAUCGCGGAUCAGCGUGUCGCGGUGAAUACGUUCCCGGGUCUUGUACACACCGCCCGUCACACCAUGGGAGUGGGUUCCACCAGAAGUAGUUAGCCUAACCGCAAGGAGG